UGGGGCCGGGCGCGGGCGGCGGCCGCGGCAGCGGCUCCGGGCAGGGGCGUCCGGCCGGGUCCCCGCGGGGUCCCGCAGCAUCCCCGGCGCCCUUUCAUCCCGCAGCAUCUCUGACAUCCCACCGCAUCCCCAGGCUCCCACAGAACCCCGGGGUCCCACUCAUCUGGCAGCAGCUUUGGGAUUGCACAUCUUUCCUGGGAUUCUGCUCGUCACACGGCAUCCAUGUAGCCCACAGCAUCCUGGGGAUCCUACAGCAUGUCACGGUAUUCCUGGGUUGCCAGAACAUCCCUGGGAUCCCAGAGCAUCGUACGGCAGUUCUUACCUCCAAGUGUCUUCACACAGCUGUGACUGCUGCACAAAAGCAUCCUGUCAGUAGUGAGGGCUCCGGUCACACUGAGGUCUCUGUAAUUCCUCAGGCUGACAGUUGCUGUAGCCAUGGCUUCAUCAGAAGAGUUGUUUAGUCACCCUUUUCUUCACUGGAGCUACUGGACUUGUUAUAGCACUGUUGUCCUGUGACAGUUCCUCUUCUUCCACCUUCUCACCUUCCUGAAUUAUCAUUUUUAGAAAAUGUUUCCCAGCAUGAAAUAUCACUUAAUGAAGAUCCAUUAAAACUAUUCCUGCACACA